rnacentral:rRNA from 1 species
AGUGAACGCUGGCGGUAGGCCUAACACAUGCAAGUCGAACGGCAGCACAGUAAGAGCUUGCUCUUACGGGUGGCGAGUGGCGGACGGGUGAGGAAUACAUCGGAAUCUACUUUUUCGUGGGGGAUAACGUAGGGAAACUUACGCUAAUACCGCAUACGACCUACGGGUGAAAGCAGGGGAUCUUCGGACCUUGCGCGAUUGAAUGAGCCGAUGUCGGAUUAGCUAGUUGGCGGGGUAAAGGCCCACCAAGGCGACGAUCCGUAGCUGGUCUGAGAGGAUGAUCAGCCACACUGGAACUGGGACACGGUCCAGACUCCUACGGGAGGCAGCAGUGGGGAAUAUUGGACAAUGGGCGCAAGCCUGAUCCAGCCAUACCGCGUGGGUGAAGAAGGCCUUCGGGUUGUAAAGCCCUUUUGUUGGGAAAGAAAAGCAGCAGGUUAAUAUCCCGCUGUUCUGACGGUACCCAAAGAAUAAGCACCGGCUAACUUCGUG